rnacentral:rRNA from 1 species
UAGUACUGUGAAGGAAAGGUGAAAAGGACCCCGGGAGGGGAGUGAAAGAGAACCUGAAACCUUGUGCCUACAAGCACAUAGAGCCCGUCAAAGGGUGAUAUGGUACUUUUUGUAGAACGGUCCGGCGAGCGAUUGUACGUUGCGAGCUUAAGGUCUUAAGGACUGGAGGCGUAGCGAGAGCGAGUCUAAACAGGGCGUUUAGUAGCGUGCAAUGGGCCCGAAACCGGGUGACCUACCCAUGAUCAGGCUGAAGUGAAAGUAAAAUUUCAUGGAGGGCCGAACCGACCUCCGUUGAAAAGGCGGCGGAUGAAUUGUGGGUAGCGGAGAAAUUCCAAUCGAACUCGGAGAUAGCUGGUUCUCCCCGAAAUAGCUUUAGGGCUAGCCUCAUGUUAGAUAUCCGGAGGUAAAGCACUGAAUGGCCUAGCGUCCGAGAGGAUAGCGAAGCCUAUCAAACUAAGAAUGCCGGAAUAUUGAUGCAUGGGAGUCAGACAGUGUGAGAUAAAUCUCAUUGUCAAAAGGGAAACAGCCCAGAUCUACAGCUAAGGUCCCAAAUUGUAUCUAAGUGGAAAACGAUGUGGAAAUACGCAGACAACCAGGAUGUUGGCUCAGAAGCAGCCACUCAUUUAAAGAGUGCGUAAUAGCUCACUGGUCGAGCGUCUCUGCGCGGAAAAUUUAACGGGGCUAAGAUACAAACCGAAGCUUAGGCUGCACGAAAGUGCGGGGUAGGGGAGCGUUGUGUAAGCGGAGAAACAGUAGCGUAAGCGGCUGUGGAGUUUACAGAAGUGAGAAUGCCGGAAUGAGUAGCGCGAAUGAUGUGAGAAUCAUCAUGGCCGGAAACCUCAGGUUUUUGGAGGAAGGUUCGUCCGCUCCAAGUUAGGCGGGAGCUAAGGUGAGGCCGAAAGGCGUAGCCGAUGCACAGACGGUAGAGAUUCCGUCCCCACCGAAAGAUUUAAGCGCAGGGACACUUUUAGAAGGUCGGAGCCAGGUGUUGGUUCUGGUAGAGAUCGAGGGAAAUUUAGUACCGAAGUCCGGCUGGAUAAGAGGCGAGAAAAGCUGCGUGUAUAUCUAAGGUGCCCGUACCGCAAACCGACACAGGUAGGUAGGAAGAAGAUUCUAAGGCCAACGGGAGAAGGGUUGUUAAGGAACUCGGCAAGUUGACCCCGUAACUUCGGAAUAAGGGGUGCUCAUGAAAGUGAGCCGCAGAGAAUAGGCCCAGGCAACUGUUUACCAAAAACACAGGUUUGUGCUAAAUCGAAAGAUGACGUAUACGAGCUGACGCCUGCCCGGUGCUGGAAGGUUAAGAGGAGAUGUGCAAGCAUUGAAUCGAAGCCCCAGUGAACGGCGGCCGUAACUAUAACGGUCCUAAGGUAGCGAAAUUCCUUGUCAGGUAAGUUCUGACCCGCACGAAAGGCGUAAUGAUUUGGGCACUGUCUCAACAGCCCGCCCGGCGAAAUUGUAGUACCGGUGAAGAUGCCGGUUACCCGCGACAAGACGGAAAGACCCCAUGGAGCUUUACUGUAGCCUAAUAUUGGGUUUCGAUGUUGCAUGCACAGGAUAGAUGGGACACUGGGAAGCAGGUGCUUUGGCGCUUGUGGAGUGGCCGUUGGGAUACCAUCCUUGCGAUAUUGGAAUUCUAACCUGCGCCUUUGAAUCAAGGCGGGGGACAUUGUUAGGUGGGCAGUUUGACUGGGGCGGUCGCCUCCUAAAGAGUAGCGGAGGCGUUCAAAGGUUGGCUCGUCCUGGACGGAAACCAGGAGAGAGAGUGCAAACGCAAAAGCCAGCCUGACUGCGAGACUGACGGGUCGAGCAGAGACGAAAGUCGGAGUUAGUGAUCCGGUGGUAUGUGAGUGGAAAUGCCAUCGCUCAACGGAUAAAAGUUACCCUGGGGAUAACAGGCUGAUCUCCCCCAAGAGUCCACAUCGACGGGGAGGUUUGGCACCUCGAUGUCGGCUCAUCGCAUCCUGGGGCUGUAUUCGGUCCCAAGGGUUUGGCUGUUCGCCAAUUAAAGCGGUACGCGAGCUGGGUUCAGAACGUCGUGAGACAGUUCGGUCCCUAUCUGUCGUGGGCGCAGGAUAUUUGAAAGGCGCUGUCCCUAGUACGAGAGGACCGGGAUGGACGAACCUCUGGUGCACCAGUUGUCACGCCAGUGGCACAGCUGGGCAGCUAUGUUCGGAUCGGAUAAACGCUGAAAGCAUCUAAGCGUGAAGCCGGCCUUAAGAUAAGAUAUCCCACUGAGAUAAUCAGGUAAGACCCCUUGA